AAGUAUAGACAGACUAUAGAUCCAAAAUGCACAAUGACAUCAAAAUUGAUUGGUAUUUGCAACUCCGGAAGCUAGUAUUGGCUUUCAUACUGAUUGUGGUUUCUCAUAUGUAUCCCAUCUUCCUGGGCAUCUUGGGGAGUUCUUUGCCUUAACAGGAGCAAGA